UACGUAGGGGGCAAGCGUUGUCCGGAAUCAUUGGGCGUAAAGCGCGUGUAGGCGGCCCGGUAAGUCCGCUGUGAAAGUCGGGGGCUCAACCCUCGAAUGCCGGUGGAUACUGUCGGGCUAGAGUGCGGAAGAGGCGAGUGGAAUUCCUGGUGUAGGGGUGAAAUGCGCAGAUAUCAGGAGGAACACCAAUUGCGAAGGCAGCUCGCUGGGACGUUACUGACGCUGAGACGCGAAAGCGUGGGGAGCAAACAGG
rnacentral:rRNA from 1 species